rfam:Triticum aestivum genome assembly, contig: Triticum_aestivum_CS42_TGACv1_scaffold_577728_7BL
CACGUACUCCCUCCGUCCGAAAAAGCUUGUCUCUCAAAUGGAUGGAUUUAACACAAAGUUGGUGCUAGAUACGUCCAUUUGAGAGACAAGGUUGGGACAAGUUUUUUUGGACGGAGGGAGUAUAUG